CCCUGUGGGAAGCAGGAGGGACCACCCUCCAAGGCUAAAUACUACCUAGUGACCGAUAGCGUAUAGUACCGUGAGGGAAAGGGGAAAAGAACCCCGGGAGGGGAGUGAAAUAGAACCUGAAACCCUGCACUUACAAGCUGUGGAAGCACAUUUCUUGUGUGACCGCGUACUUUUUGUAGAACGGGCCAACGAGUUACGUUAAGUAGCAAGGUUAAGCACUUAAGGUGCGGAGCCGUAGCGAAAGCGAGUUUUAACUGAGCGUUCAGUUACU
rnacentral:rRNA from 1 species